rnacentral:siRNA from 1 species
UUAUGUGAUGCAUGCGUUAUGAGC